rnacentral:tRNA from 1 species
GCGGAAGUACCCAAGUGGCCGAAGGGGCUCCCCUGCUAAGGGAGUAGGCGUCUAAAAAGCGCGCGAGAGUUCGAAUCUCUCCUUCCGCGCCA